rnacentral:rRNA from 1 species
GGAAUAUUGCACAAUGGGGGGAACCCUGAUGCAGCGACGCCGCGUGAGUGAAGAAGUAGUUCGGUAUGUAAAGCUCUAUCAGCAGGGAAGAAAAUGACGGUACCUGACUAAGAAGCCCCGGCUAACUACGUGCCAGCAGCCGCGGUAAUACGUAGGGGGCAAGCGUUAUCCGGAUUUACUGGGGGUAGAGGGAGCGCAGACGGCUGUGCAAGUCUGGAGUGAAAGGCGGGGGCCCAACCCCCGGACUGCUCUGGAAACUGUAAAGCUGGAGUGCAGGAGAGGUAAGCGGAAUUCCUAGUGUAGCGGUGAAAUGCGUAGAUAUUAGGAGGAACACCAGUGGCGAAGGCGGCUUACUGGACUGCAACUGACGUUGAGGCUCGAAAGCGUGGGGAGCAAAC